GAUGAACGCUAGCUACAGGCUUAACACAUGCAAGUCGAGGGGCAGCGCAGUGUAGCAAUACAUGGGCGGCGACCGGCGCACGGGUGCGUAACGCGUAUCCAACCUUCCCGUUACUCAGGGAUAGCCUUCCGAAAGGGAGAUUAAUACCUGAUGGUGUUCAAAUUCCGCAUGUUAUUUGAACUAAAGAUUUAUCGGUAGCGGAUGGGGAUGCGUGACAUUAGAUAGUAGGCGGGUAACGGCCCACCUAGUCUACGAUGUCUAGGGGUUCUGAGAGGAAGGUCCCCCACACUGGAACUGAGACACGGUCCAGACUCCUACGGGAGGCAGCAGUGAGGAAUAUUGGUCAAUGGUCGGAAGACUGAACCAGCCAAGUAGCGUGAAGGAUGAAGGUUCUAUGGAUUGUAAACUUCUUUUAUACGGGAAUAAAAACCUCCCACGUGUGGGAGCUUGUAUGUACCGUAUGAAUAAGCAUCGGCUAAACUCCGUG
rnacentral:rRNA from 1 species